ACGUUUAUCUUUUGUUUAAAUGUGCUGUUUUAACGUGCUUUAACGUUGCUGUUUUGCUAUUUUGUGACAGACAAGGAAGGAAGUGAUAUUAUUUUAUCUCCAGUUGCAUUAUCUCCUUGCAUUAGUUUCAGACUUACGUCAGACUUAUUUAUUUUGUCACGUGCUAAGUAGCAAGCCCAUUAGAAAAGUGACGUUUAACAAAACAUUUAAACGAUGCCAUUCCUUUUAGAAUUAGACUGAUUCAAAAUAUUCAGAAUAAUCUACUGGAAUUGGAGGAGAAGCUCGAGGCGUGGAGGUUUGCCCUGGAAAGGAGAGGAAUGAAGGUUAGCCGCAGCAAGACGGAGUAUCUGUGUGUGAAUGAGAGGGACCCAAGUGGAAGAGUGAGGUUACAGGGAGAAGAGAUCAAGAAGGUGGAGGAUUUUAAGUACUUAGGGUCAACAGUCCAGAGCAAUGGAGAGUGUGGAAAAGAGGUGAAGAAGUGUGUACAGGCAGGCUGGAACGGCUGGAGAAAAGUGUCAGAGAAUAGAGCACGUGUUUGCUGCAAACAGCCGCGUCAUUGCCACAUGGUUUCCACCAUCAUCCACAAACCCCAUGGAUCACCUGCUGGACAAUGCAGCCAGUCUCCAGUGGGUUCUGCUUCCAGUAUUUGUACCUGGACACUGGAUACUCUGCACAUUGCUCACAGCCUAUCUCCUGGCCCUUGGAGGCAGCUUGGUGUGAAUGAUGUUCAGGAAAACAUGCUGCAGAUUAGAAGAUGGUGGUGUCUUGUUCUCCUGCAGAACUUCCCCAUGCUAUCUGAAGAAGAGACAUUGCAGCAAAGAAAAAUGCAACGAGAGCAGAAAAAACUACAGGAUGUGGCUGAAGUCCCCCUGAAAAUGUUUAGGCUUUCAGAAUCUGCCACUGAAGCAUCAGGUAUUGUUCCAGCCAGCAUUGUCUCACACAUAUCCAUCAAGGUUGUUGAGGUUCCAUGUCACAGAGCAGUCAUUAUUUCUCUGUGUACUUAAAAUCAACCACUUAAAUCUUGCGUUUUCACUGUGCCUGUAUACACCACAAUCUGUUUCCUUUCUAGAUGAGGCUGAGAACAGGACUGGGAACAGGAAACGGGGUAUAUUGCCUGAGAUGGGUAGUCUCAUUUCAGUGUUUUCUGCAAUCUCCGAGCCUUUACUUAAAUAACUGUUUUCUUUAUUUUUGUUUAGGAGAAUCCUUUGGUCAGGGAUGCAAUGGCGGCAGCCCGGUAGUGUGGGACCAGAACUUUCAAGGGAAAAAUUUCCCUUCCCCAAGUUGUUACCAUGGCCAAGGAGCAACGCGUGAGGGCAGUGGAACUCCUGUGUGUCUGUGAUGGCCAGGAAGAAGAGGAGACCGCUGAUCUCAGAGAACCGUUCCUUUUUCUUUUUAGUCUGCAGGAAGACUAUGAGACAUUCUGUCAAGAAAUCAUUGACAGGAGAAACAUGAAGGUGUUUUGUGCUUUUGACAGAAAAGAAUAAAGUUGUGUUCAACGGUG